CAACCUGCCUAUCAGAGGGGAACAACAGUUAGAAAUGACUGCUAAUACCGCAUAUGCCUAAGUAUCACAUGAUACAAUAGGGAAAGGAGCAAUCCGCUGAUAGAUGGGCUUGCGUCUGAUUAGCUAGUUGGUGGGGUAAUGGCCUACCAAGGCAACGAUCAGUAGCCGGACUGAGAGGUUGAACGGCCACAUUGGGACUGAGAUACGGCCCAGACUCCUACGGGAGGCAGCAG
rnacentral:rRNA from 1 species